UUCGAUGGUAGGAUAGAGGCCUACCAUGGUUUUAACGGGUAACGGGGAAUUAGGGUUCGAUUCCGGAGAGGGAGCCUGAGAAACGGCUACCACAUCCAAGGAAGGCAGCAGGCGCGCAAAUUACCCAAUCCCAAUACGGGGAGGUAGUGACAAUAAAUAACAAUAUGGGGCUCUUACGGGUCUCGUAAUUGGAAUGAGUACAAUUUAAAUCUCUUAACGAGGAACAAUUGGAGGGCAAGUCUGGUGCCAGCAGCCGCGGUAAUUCCAGCUCCAAUAGCGUAUAUUAAAGUUGUUGCAGUUAAAAAGCUCGUAGUUGAAUUUCGGGAUCUGUCCAUUGGUCGGGCUUCACGGUCCGCACUGGUGUGAUGGGUUCCUACCUUCUGAAUAACCAGCAUGCCAUUCAGUUGGUGCGUUGGGGAAGCAGAGCUAUUACCUUGAAAAAAUUAGAGUGCUUAAAGCAGGCUAGUGCUUGAAUAGAUUAGCAUGGAAUAAUAAAAUAGGACGGCAUGGUUCUAUUUUGUUGGUUUCUAGGAUCACCGUAAUGAUUAAUAGGGAUAGUUGGGGGCAUUAGUAUUCAAUUGUCAGAGGUGAAAUUCUUGGAUUUAUUGAAGACUAACUUCUGCGAAAGCAUUUGCCAAGGAUGUUUUCAUUAAUCAAGAACGAAAGUUAGGGGAUCGAAGACGAUCAGAUACCGUCGUAGUCUUAACCAUAAACUAUGCCGACUAGGGAUCGGACGAUGUUAAUUUUUUAAUGACUCGUUCGGCGCCUUACGGGAAACCAAAGG
rnacentral:rRNA from 1 species